GACGAACGCUGGCGGCGUGCUUAACACAUGCAAGUCGAACGGUGAAGCGCCUUCCUUUUUGGUUGGUGUGGAUGAGAGGCGAACGGGUGAGUAACACUUGCGUAACCUGCCCCCUUCUUCUGGAUAACCGCAUGAAAGUGUGUCUAAUACGGGAUAUUCUGGUUCUGUCGCAUGGUGGGUCUGGUUCAGCUAUUGUUGCUGUGGUGGAUGGGCUCGCGGCGUUUGGGGUUGUUGUGGUGGUGAUGGCCUUUGAAGGCGGGGACGGGUCGCCGGCUUGAGAGGGUGGACGGCCACAGUGGGACUGAGACACGGCUGAGACUCAUACGGGAGGCAGACGUCGGGAAUAGUGCACAGUGGGCGAAAGUCUGAUGCAGCGACGCCGCGUGAGCGGUGGCGGCCUUCGGGUUGUGAACCUCUUCCGCUAGUGAAGCAGGCCUGCCUCGUAUGUGGGUGGGUUGACGGUAGCUGGAUAAGAAGCGCCGGCUAACUACGUG
rnacentral:rRNA from 1 species